rnacentral:rRNA from 1 species
GUGCCAGCCGCCGCGGUAAGACAGAGGCCCCGAGCGUUAGUCGGAAUCACUGGGCUUAAAGGGUGCGUAGGCGGACUUGUAAGUGCUUUGUGAAAGCCCCGGGCUCAACCCGGGAACCGCAGGGCAUACUGCAAGUCUUAGAGGAAGCUAGAGGCGGGUAGAACGAUCGGUGGAGCGGUGGAAUGCGUAGAGAUCGAUCGGAAUGCCAAGGGUGAAGACAACCCGCUGGGGCUUUCCUGACGCUGAGGCACGAAAGCGUGGGGAUCAAACAGGAUUAGAAACCCUUGUAGUCC